rnacentral:lncRNA from 1 species
CGCGAUUUUUUGUUGUUGUCGUUAUCAGAAACAAACACAAGAAUCGGACACAUGCAAAACUCAAAGCAUGGCUGAAUGAGGAUUAAUCUCAGCUUCUGGGUCAUAAGACAAGGCAAGCAUCUGAAUCUUCCCAAGCUCUCAACUGCACAACACGGUUACAAUGGUACUGUAAGGGGAUGAGUCAAAUGAAAGAUAUCAAAAUCCAAAGUACAAUUUACUGAGAUUUAAAAAAAAAAGUCUAUAGAGAGGAUGCAGAAAGUGAGAGCUAUGCAAUGAUUAGAGACUUUAACAUUAUAAUCUGCAUGUUUAAUGUAAUGUGAUUAGCUUAUGAACAUCUCAAUAACAUUUAAUCAAAUCCUAAAGUCCCUAGAUGAUUGAUUUAAACAAUGUACUAAAUACUAACCCUUGGUUAUCAAUAUUCCCAUGGCCGCCUCUACUCCCUCCACUUCCAUAAACACGUCAUCACCUCCCCCUGAACUCUGCCAAACGCCCUGCCACGCAUGAAAAGGAGCCUCCCGAUUAGCAGC